rnacentral:rRNA from 1 species
GACGAACGCUGGCGGCGUGCUUAACACAUGCAAGUCGAACGGAAAGGCCCUGCUUUUGUGGGGUGCUCGAGUGGCGAACGGGUGAGUAACACGUGAGUAACCUUCCCUUGACUUUGGGAUAACUUCAGGAAACUGGGGCUAAUACCGGAUAGGAGCUCCUGCUGCAUGGUGGGGGUUGGAAAGUUUCGGCGGUUGGGGAUGGACUCGCGGCUUAUCAGCUUGUUGGUGGGGUAGUGGCUUACCAAGGCGUUGACGGGUAGCCGGCCUGAGAGGGUGACCGGCCACAUUGGGACUGAGAUACGGCCCAGACGCCUACGGGAGGCAGCAGUGGGGAAUAUUGCACAAUGGGCGGAAGCCUGAUGCAGAAACGCCGCGUGCGGGAUGACGGCCUUCGGGUUGUAAACCGCUUUAGCCUGUGACGAAGCGUGAGUGACGGUAAUGGGUAAAGAAGCACCGGCUAACUACGUG